GUCCACACCGUAAACGCUGUCUACUAGCUGUGUGUGUAUUAUAUACGUGCGUAGCGAAGCUAACGCGCUAAGUAGACCGCCUGGGGAGUACGGCCGCAAGGUUAAAACUCAAAUGAAUUGACGGGGGCCCGCACAAGCGGUGGAGCAUGUGGUUUAAUUCGAUGCAACGCGAAGAACCUUACCUACACUUGACAUGCAGAGAACUUUCUAGAGAUAGAUUGGUGCCUUCGGGAACUCUGACACAGGUGCUGCAUGGCU
rnacentral:rRNA from 1 species